rnacentral:lncRNA from 1 species
CCUUUUUUCCAUUGUCAUCUGAUUCUAUGCAGGAUUUCUUGGUUACUUAAAAAAAGUUUUUAGCAUUCAUCAAGAUAAAAAACAAUCACAGACAAUCUGAACACUAGCCAGCAUUCCUCGGCUCCUUCCRGGUCAUAACCAGGGAGGAAAUAAAGCAGAGACCUGUGACCUCAGUAAAGUUUUUGAAAUCAGUUCACAAAGACCUGCCACAGCCAGUGAGAGGAACCAGGACUUCAUUAAAACACGUACUAGCAGCAACUUACUGGCUCAGCACAUUCAAUUAGCUGAAUUCAGCAGAAAGACCCCCCUCUCUACUCAAUACAGCCAAGCAGCAAAACCCACGAAGGAAACAGCAGGACCGCAGCGAGCAGUACAACAAGCCGUCUCCCUGCUGCGGCCCCGGGCGUCUCUUGGUUAUGCCUGCUGUCCAACCCAAGGCCGAGUUUGUCUUUGCCUCAAGCCAGCGAGAGCCCAGCGAGCGUAACAAACCUGUUUUCCCAGACGCUACCUUGUGGAAACAGUGAUCCAUACAGCCCUACAGUGUGCAGCAUGUUGAAGAGGCUGGAGAGCUACCUAAUGGGUUCAUAGUGCUUCAUCUACGCUAAUCGACCGAACAGCCCGUGGCCCUGCACUGGCCCCGAGGCAGCCCGUGAAGGCUGGCCUUGUCUGGACUGUCAGACCGCGUUAUCCUCCAGGGCGCACACUUGCCCCCAAACUGCCCAGUGGAAAUGGCCUUUGACACAAGCUAACUUCCGAAUUUUGCCGAGGGAUUAUUUGGGACUGCAUUUGAUAGCUGAGGCUAAAACCAUGCCAGAGGCCUUGCUAACAAGCAAUAUGGACAGCCACCUUUCAGUGCCCUGGCCUGAGCUCUGAUCCUGUUGUCUUACUAGUAUAGACACAGCCUAUAUGAUCUUACCCAAAGUACCUCUUUCUUGUGGGAGUGUAAUGGUGAUAACUGCAGUUGACCUGGUUGUUUGCUAUCAGCCAUCAGCAAGUAAUAACAGUAUAUGCUUUUCUUUGUUUAUUUAAAUAUACAGCGUAGUAUUUAACAAGCACAGUUAUAAUUUAAAUGUGUCUGUGGAACAGAGUCAGAGGGAGAAAAACAGCCUGUCCCAAGAAACACCAUGGCAUUUAUCCUGCAAAGAGCAAMAAGGCAAGUCCAUCACUAUGGCUGUGCCAGCAUCAUGAAAAGGUGCAGGCAGUCUCUGCCCCCCAGAGGUACACCAGAUGAGGAAUGGGACUGUUGUUAGCACUGGAAUCAUUUGCACUUGCUCAUACAAAGUUCAGUUAUCUGCUGAUAAUUAGUAAGGUCUGUGGUAUUUCUGUUGUCUGUGUGGCUGUAAGGCUGCUUAGUGGCUGACAAACACAGUGACAAGUGUAAGUGUAGGAAGGCCAAGCAAACGAGGGUAUGACCAGCACCCAUAGGCAUACUACUGCGAUUUUAACAUACAGGUAAAGGUAGCAGGCACAGGUGACAGAAUAAAGAAAUUGCACAUGUGCUUCCUGGAAAUCUG